rnacentral:rRNA from 1 species
UUAAGACCUUCAAUCAGGUGGGAUUACCCGCUGAACUUAAGCAUAUCAUAAGCGGAGGAAAGAAACUAACCAGGAUUCCCCUAGUAACGGCGAGUGAAGAGGGAAAAGCCCAAAUUUGUAAUCUGGCUCUUUUAGAGUCCGAGUUGUAAUUUUGAGAACUGUUUUCCGUGCUGGACCAUGUACAAGUCUGUUGGAAAACAGCAUCAUUGAGGGUGAAAAUCCCGUUCAUGAUAUGGACUACCAGUGCAAUGUGAUACAGUCUCUAAGAGUCGAGUUGUUUGGGAAUGCAGCUCAAAGUGGGUGGUAAAUUCCAUCUAAGGCUAAAUAUUGGUGAGAGACCGAUAGCAAACAAGUACCGUGAGGGAAAGAUGAAAAGAACUUUGGAAAGAGAGUUAACAGUACGUGAAAUUGUUAAAAGGGAAACAUUUGAAGUUAGACUUGUUAUUGUUGGUUCAGCCUUUUAUAGGGUGUAUUCCAAUGGUUAACAGACCAGCAUCAAUUUUUGGGUGAUGGAUAAGGGUCUUGGAAAUGUAGCAACCUCGGUUGUGUUAUAGUCCUUGACUUUGAUACAUUGCUUAGGAUUGAGGAACGCAGUAAGCUGAAUUAAUUUUUAGUGAAUCUCUUGAGAUUUUCUUACUACGGAUGUUGGUGUA